AGCGAACGCUGGCGGCAGGCUUAACACAUGCAAGUCGAGCGGGCACUUUCGGGUGUCAGCGGCGGACGGGUGAGUAACGCGUGGGAACGUGCCCUCUGGUUCGGAAUAACUCAGGGAAACUUGCGCUAAUACCGGAUACGCCCUUUUGGGGAAAGGCUUGCUGCCGGAGGAUCGGCCCGCGUCUGAUUAGCUAGUUGGUGAGGUAACGGCUCACCAAGGCGACGAUCAGUAGCUGGUCUGAGAGGAUGAUCAGCCACACUGGGACUGAGACACGGCCCAGACUCCUACGGGAGGCAGAAGUGGGGAAGAUUGGACAAUGGGCGCAAGCCUGAUCCAGCCAUGCCGCGUGAGUGUUCAAGGCCUUAGGGUUGUAAAGCUCUUUUAUCCGGGACGAUAAUGACGGUACCGGAGGAAUAAGCCACGGCUAACUUCGUG
rnacentral:rRNA from 1 species